GAGGGUAGCUCAGCCGGAUAGAGCAGCGGCCUUCUAAGCCGCCGGUCGUGGGUUCGAAUCCCACCCCUCG
rnacentral:tRNA from 1 species